CAGCCGCCGCGGUAAAACGAAGGGUGCAAGCGUUACUCGGAAUUACUGGGCGUAAAGCGUGCGUAGGUGGUGGUUUAAGUCCGUUGUGAAAGCCCUGGGCUCAACCUGGGAAUUGCAGUGGAUACUGGGUCACUAGAGUGUGGUAGAGGAUAGUGGAAUUUCCGGUGUAGCAGUGAAAUGCGUAGAGAUCGGAAGGAACAUCUGUGGCGAAGGCGACUAUCUGGGCCAACACUGACACUGAGGCACGAAAGCGUGGGGGGCAAACAGGAUUAGAUACCCGCGUAGUCCCUGUCUCUUAUAC
rnacentral:rRNA from 1 species